rnacentral:rRNA from 1 species
GACGAACGCCGGCGGCGUGCUUAACACAUGCAAGUCGAACGGAAAGGCCCUGCUUUUGUGGGGUGCUCGAGUGGCGAACGGGUGAGUAACACGUGAGUAACCUGCCCUUGACUUUGGGAUAACUUCAGGAAACUGGGGCUAAUACCGGAUAGGAGCUCCUGCUGCAUGGUGGGGGUUGGAAAGUUUCGGCGGUUGGGGAUGGACUCGCGGCUUAUCAGCUUGUUGGUGGGGUAGUGGCUUACCAAGGCUUUGACGGGUAGCCGGCCUGAGAGGGUGACCGGCCACAUUGGGACUGAGAUACGGCCCAGACUCCUACGGGAGGCAGCAGUGGGGAAUAUUGCACAAUGGGCGGAAGCCAGAUGCAGCAACGCCGCGUGCGGGAUGACGGCCUUCGGGUUGUAAACCGCUUUCGCCUGUGACGAAGCGUGAGUGACGGUAAUGGGUAAAGAAGCACCGGCUAACUACGUG